GUCGAGCGGACCGACGGGAGCUUGCUCCCUUAGGUCAGCGGCGGACGGGUGAGUAACACGUGGGUAACCUGCCUGUAAGACUGGGAUAACUCCGGGAAACCGGGGCUAAUACCGGAUGCUUGAUUGAACCGCAUGGUUCAAUCAUAAAAGGCGGCUUCGGCUGCCGUUUACCGAUGGACCCGCGGCGCAUUAGCUAGUUGGUGAGGUAACGGCUCACCAAGGCGACGAUGCGUAGCCGACCUGAGAGGGUGAUCGGCCACACUGGGACUGAGACACGGCCCAGACUCCUACGGGAGGCAGCAGUAGGGAAUCUUCCGCAAUGGACGAAAGUCUGACGGAGCAACGCCGCGUGAGUGAUGAAGGUUUUCGGAUCGUAAAGCUCUGUUGUUAGGGAAGAACAAGUACCGUUCGAAUAGGGCGGUACCUUGAC
rnacentral:rRNA from 1 species